rnacentral:rRNA from 1 species
AUUGGUUUCUCCCUUCUGACGAAGCAUGAUGUCAUUAAUUUGGUGUCGUGGGGAAUCAGGACUGUUACUUUGAAAAAAUUAGAGUGUUUAAAGCAAGCAUUAGCUUGAAUACAUUAGCAUGGAAUAAUGAAAUAGGACGUUUGAUCCUAUUUCGUUGGUUUCUAGGAUCGACGUAAUGAUUAAUAGGGAUAGUUGGGGGCAUUAGUAUUCAAUUGUCAGAGGUGAAAUUCUUGGAUUUAUUGAAGACUAACUACUGCGAAAGCAUUUGCCAAGGAUGUUUUCAUUAAUCAAGAACGAAAGUUAGGGGAUCGAAGACGAUCAGAUACCGUCGUAGUCUUAACCAUAAACUAUGCCGACUAGGGAUCGGAUGAUGUUAAUUUUUUAAUGACUCAUUCGG